GUACACGCUGUGACUAGCAUAUCAAUAAGCGGAGGAAAAGAAACUAACAAGGAUUCCCUCAGUAACGGCGAGUGAAGCGGGAAGAGCUCAAAUUUGAAAUCUUGAAAGGUCACCUUUCACGAAUUGUAGUUUAAAGAAGUGUUUUCUGUUACGAUCGUAAUAUAAGUUCUUUGGAAUAGGACAUCACAGAGGGUGAGAAUCCCGUCUAUGAUUGCGAUUUGUAGCUUUGUGAUACACUUUCAAAGAGUCGGGUUGUUUGGGAAUGCAGCCCAAAACGGGAGGUAAAUUUCUUCCUAAGGCUAAAUAUUGGCGAGAGACCGAUAGCGAACAAGUACCGUGAGGGAAAGAUGAAAAGAACUUUGAAAAGAGAGUUAAAUAGUACGUGAAAUUGUCAAAAGGGAAGCGUUUAACACCAGUGUUGUUUUCUGAAAAUCAACCUCUGUUAGCUUUAUGCAUGUUUGUUUAGACCUAAUCAGCUAUCUUUCAUGUUCUAUUGUUUGCAGUGGUGCACUUUUCAGUUUACAGGUCAACAUCAGUUUUUUUUUACCGUAAAAAAGUUAAAGAAAGGUAGCUCAUGGCUCCGGUCGUGAGUGUUAUAGUCUUUUUCCUAUGCGGUAGGAGAGACUGAGGUCUGCAGUGUAGGCUAUUUGGCUAGAUACUCAGGUGCUAUGUGAUACCAUUUCAUAAACAACUUGUUGAUUAUGUUUUGUCUAUUGCAUACUCGCUUGUACUAUCAUACCUACGCUUAGGAUGUUGAGUAGCGACAUACGCAC
rnacentral:rRNA from 1 species